rnacentral:rRNA from 1 species
CUCGCGGCCUAUCAGCUAGUUGGUGAGGUAACGGCUCACCAAGGCGACGACGGGUAGCCGGCCUGAGAGGGUGACCGGCCACACUGGGACUGAGACACGGCCCAGACUCCUACGGGAGGCAGCAGUGGGGAAUAUUGCACAAUGGGCGCAAGCCUGAUGCAGCAACGCCGCGUGAGGGACGAAGGCCUUCGGGUUGUAAACCUCUUUUAGCAGGGAAGAAGCGAAAGUGACGGUACCUGCAGAAAAAGCACCGGCUAACUACGUGCCAGCAGCCGCGGUAAUACGUAGGGUGCGAGCGUUAUCCGGAAUUAUUGGGCGUAAAGAGCUCGUAGGCGGUCUGUCGCGUCUGCUGUGAAAUCCCGAGGCUCAACCUCGGGCUUGCAGUGGGUACGGGCAGACUAGAGUGCGGUAGGGGAGAUUGGAAUUCCUGGUGUAGCGGUGGAAUGCGCAGAUAUCAGGAGGAACACCGAUGGCGAAGGCAGAUCUCUGGGCCGUUACUGACGCUGAGGAGCGAAAGCGUGGGGAGCAAACAGGCUUAGAUACCCUGGUAGUCCACGCCGUAAACGUUGGGAACUAGAUGUGGGGACCAUUCCACGGUCUCCGUGUCGUAGCUAACGCA